UGGGGAAUUUUGGACAAUGGGCGCAAGCCUGAUCCAGCCAUGCCGCGUGCGGGAAGAAGGCCUUCGGGUUGUAAACCGCUUUUGUCAGGGAAGAAAUCUUCUGAGUUAAUACCUCGGGAGGAUGACGGUACCUGAAGAAUAAGCACCGGCUAACUACGUGCCAGCAGCCGCGGUAAUACGUAGGGUGCAAGCGUUAAUCGGAAUUACUGGGCGUAAAGCGUGCGCAGGCGGUUUUGUAAGACAGAGGUGAAACCCCCGGGCUCAACCUGGGAACUGCCUUUGUGACUGCAAGGCUUGAGUGCGGCAGAGGGGGAUGGAAUUCCGCGUGUAGCAGUGAAAUGCGUAGAUAUGCGGAGGAACACCGAUGGCGAAGGCAAUCCCCUGGGCCUGCACUGACGCUCAUGCACGAAAGCGUGGGGAGCAAAACAGGAUUAGAUACCCUGGUAGUCCACGCCCUAAACGAUGUCAACUGGUUGUUGGGAAGGUUCCUUCUCAGUAACGUAGCUAACGCGUGAAGUUGACCGCCUGGGGAGUACGGCCGCAAGGUUGAAACUCAAAUGAAUUGACGGGGUCAUAGC
rnacentral:rRNA from 1 species